rnacentral:rRNA from 1 species
CGGACGGGUGAGUAACGCGUGGGUAACCUGCCAUAUACAGGGGGAUAACACUUAGAAAUAGGUGCUAAUACCGCAUAAGCGCACAGGGGCGCAUGCCCCGGUGUGAAAAACUCCGGUGGUAUAUGAUGGACCCGCGUCUGAUUAGCCAGUUGGCAGGGUAACGGCCUACCAAAGCGACGAUCAGUAGCCGGCCUGAGAGGGUGAACGGCCACAUUGGGACUGAGACACGGCCCAAACUCCUACGGGAGGCAGCAG